CUUUAAAUAGAGCUGCACAAACAGAUUGGCGGCAAAAGCGUAGAUCUUGUCACGAUUGAGACCAAUCCAGUAUUUCAGCCUUGUUUGCUUUGCAAUUACGGGUUGGCUUGUGGCUACGGUGCCACCGGGGCAAAUCUGCAGCCGCUCGCUUUCUCCUCUGCGCUCCGGGCGGGUGGAGGAAGCGACCCGCGGAGUCACUGCAGGGAGGAGAGGGGGACGCGCGCGGGGGGAGGCGGCGGAGGGCGGAGGAGACUCGCUUGCACCCCAGGGCCGCGGGCACGCAGAGCUGUGUUGAAGGACAUACUUUUCAGCUUCCUUUUCUGUCCACCUUCCCUCUCUCUUCUACCUCCGUUUCGCUUUUCUUCAGUGCAUGUUAGCGGUUUGCUGGAUUUCCCUUCUCCCUCGCUGUUCAACUGCUAGCAUGAUUUGUUACAUUUUCCACAGCUGUUUAUUCUUGUUUGACUUUUUGUACAAAGUCACUUUAAAUCUGCUGCAGAAAGAAUAAAGCACCUAGCCCUUUGGAUGGACUCCUGCAGGCGUGUGGCUGUCCCUGGCCCACUUUUAAUUCUUUGGAGAUGGCUCUUCUGUGUAAAUCAGCUGCUGGGUGCGUUCGGUCACCUCGUAGGCCAGCCUAGUUUGUAUCAGCAGAACAGUAGUGGACUCGACUCAGGUCGUAAGCCUUAUAUUUCACAGACAAUUAAAUCUUGGCUGCUGUUGAAC
rnacentral:lncRNA from 1 species